CUUGGCAGUGGGUGUAGGCCAAGGCCGGACUGUCUCCUGAACUCACCGUUUAACAGAUCCGGAGAUUGGAGGGAUGAGAGAGUGGGCAGAAACGGUUAAGGUAGGAGAGGUUGGGGCAGAGCUGGUUAAGGUAGGAGAGGUUGGGGCAGAGCUGGUUAAGGUAGGAGAGGUUGGGGCAGAGCUGGUUAAGGUAGGAGAGGUUGGGGCAGAGCUGGUUAAGGUAGGAGAGGUUGGGGCAGAGCUGGUUAACGUAGGAGAGGUUGGGGCAGAGCUGGUUAAGGUAGGAGAGGUUGGGGCAGGGCUGGUUUGUGAUGGCUGGGUGGAAUGGGUUGUGAUUACCGGUAAUGGGAAUGGGGAAAAUAAGAAAUCAAAGUGUGGUGCAGUAGGUGAUAUUAAUGUGAAGGGACUGGACAUGGAGGCUGAUGGUGUUCCCAGAGGAAGGGUGGCUGAGGCACAAAUCCUGUAUGUCCAGGAUUUGUUGGAGCAGAUUGACUUGGGAGCCCUGUGGUGUCCAGCCAGAUGUGAUGGGUUGGGGUGUAGAGCCAGAGUGGAUGGAGUGAGAUGGUGCAGCACAGGAGGUGAUGGAUUGGGGUGGCACUGUUAGUGCUGGCCAAAGUGUUGAUGGUGAGGGUAGCUCCUCCAUGGGGGUAAAGCUGACUCCACAGUUCCCUCUGCUGCUGGUGGGGGACCAGAGUUGGAGAUUUCUCCCUGAGAG
ensembl:lncRNA